rnacentral:lncRNA from 1 species
UUCCUGAGGGUUUGGGGCAUUUUUCCUGCGUUUCUGUUUUUUCCCAUUGACGGCUGCUGUUAUCCCGGUGUUCCCGAGGUUUUUCCCAGGAUUUUUCUCGGUGCUUUUCCAAGGAUUUUUCUCCUUGUUUCCAGAAUUUCUCCCGGUGUUUUUCCCAGGAUUUUUCUCCAUGUUCCCAGGAUUUUUCCCUGGGUUUUUCCCGGUAUUUUUCCCAGUGUUCCCAGGAUUUUCCCCAUGAUUUUUCUCUGUGUUUUUCCCAGGAUUUUUCCCGCUAUUUUCCCCGGUGUUCCUGCUAUUUUUCCCGCUAUUUUUCCCGCUAUUUUUCCCACUAUUCCCGCUAUUUUCCCCGCUAUUCCCGCUAUUUUU